rnacentral:rRNA from 1 species
UACGAAGGGAGCUAGCGUUGUUCGGAAUCACUGGGCGUAAAGCGCACGUAGGCGGGUCGUUAAGUCGGGGGUGAAAUGCCAAGGCUCAACCUUGGAACUGCCUUCGAUACUGGCGAUCUCGAGUCCGGGAGAGGUGAGUGGAACUCCGAGUGUAGAGGUGAAAUUCGUAGAUAUUCGGAAGAACACCAGUGGCGAAGGCGGCUCACUGG